rnacentral:lncRNA from 1 species
GCCUCAUACAUUCUGUGCGUCAGUUUAGCUUCAUACUCAGUGACAGGGUACACACACAUUACAGGACAAAAAAUUCAAACUAUGACUAUUUAGUAAAUUAUGCACUGUAGUGAUUAAAACGAGACAAGCCCCAGAAAAAAUAAACAUGCCUGAUGUACAAACUACACCAGAAAUUCUUCAGUGACACGACAAUGAAUUUGUGGUUUUUUCCCCCAAUUACAAGCGAGCAGAGGAUUUGUCAGACAUUCAUUUUGCAACUUCUACUGUCCACUCUACGCCUCCUUUCUCUUGAUGAUCAGAGGCCCAACGUUGUCGCCAGUUUCGUCGUUGUGCUGUGUGUGAGAGCCAUCACACAGCGGGAACUUCUUAGAUCUCCAACAACGACAGUACACAGCCUUAUCUCCCAGGUCUUCCAUAUCAAAUGCAUGGACUACCUUGGGGUUAUCCUUCUGGAUAUGGAGAUUCACCAUUGCCUUGCAGCAUUUGUCUUUAGAGAGAAAUUUUUUGUAAGCUAGAUACCCAACAGCAGCUGCUCCAGCAGCUAAGGAGACUGCAGCGAUCCAUUCAACCCGCACGGCGCCAUUCUGCCCCAGCCCCAUCGCUCCGCACUCUACAGAGGACACACGCA